CCUACGGGAUGCAGCAGUAAGGAAUAUUGCUCAAUGGGGGCAACCCUGAAGCAGCAAAGUCGCGUGGAGGAUGACGGUUCUAUGAUUGUUAAACCUUUUUGUUAGAGGAGCUAAUGACGAUAUAUAACGAGUAAGCACCGGCUAACUCCGUGACAGCAGCCGCGGUUAUACGUAGGGUGCCAGCGUUACUCGGAAUCACUUGGCGUAAAGAGAGCGUAGGCGGGAUAGCAAGUCAGAUGUGAAAACGUAUGGCUUAACCAUAGAACUGCAUUUGAAACUGUUAUUCUAGAGUAUGGGAGAGGUAGGCGGAAUUCGUGGUGUAGGGGUAAAAUCCAUAGAGAUCAAGAAGAAUACUCAUUGCGAAGGCGACCUGCUAGAGCACAACUGACGCUGAGGCGCGAAAGCGUGGGGAGCGAACAGGAUUAGAUACCCGAGUAGUC
rnacentral:rRNA from 1 species